CAGCCGUAAACUAUGCGCGUUAGGUGCACUGGUGACCACGAGUCACCGGGGUGCCGAAGGGAAACCGUGAAACGUGCCGCCUGGGAAGUACGGUCGCAAGGCUGAAACUUAAAGGAAUUGGCGGGGGGAGCACCACAACGGGUGGAGCCUGCGGUUUAAUUGGACUCAACGCCGGAAAUCUCACCGGAUAGGACAGACAUAUGAUAGUCGGGCUGAAGACUCUACUUGAUGAUCUGAGAGGAGGUGCAUGGCGUCCAGUGACU
rnacentral:rRNA from 1 species